GACGUAGGGCGCGAGCGUUGUCCGGAUUUAUUGGGCGUAAAGAGCUCGUAGGCGGCUUGUCGCGUCGGCCGUGAAAACCUGCAGCUCAACUGCAGGCUUGCGGUCGAUACGGGCAGGCUAGAGUUCGGUAGGGGAGACUGGAAUUCCUGGUGUAGCGGUGAAAUGCGUAGAUAUCUGGAAGAACACCAAAGGCGAAGGCAGUGUCCUGGGUGGUCGCUGACGCUGAGAGGCGAAAGCCAGGGGAGCGAACGGG
rnacentral:rRNA from 1 species